CACAUUUUAAAUGAAACUAAGUUAAUAUGUUCUAGAAGAAUUGCACUUCCUCUUCUCCCUCUUUUAAAACUUAAAAAUAAGGUCAAAAUCAAUUGGGAAAAAAAUUAAUUGGGGAAAAGCCGCACAGAUUUCAUUAGACUAAAAAUUAUUUGGUAGAAGUGCUCAAUAGGAGUGAGUCAAGCUUCUAGAACACUCAGAUUAAUUAUAAUACAGGAUUGUGUGUUUUCAACCAAAUUAUUAUGUAAGCUAUGUCACCU
rnacentral:lncRNA from 1 species